GAUGAACGCUGGCGGCGUGCCUAAUACAUGCAAGUCGAGCGAACAGACGAGGAGCUUGCUCCUCUGACGUUAGCGGCGGACGGGUGAGUAACACGUGGAUAACCUACCUAUAAGACUGGGAUAACUUCGGGAAACCGGAGCUAAUACCGGAUAAUAUAUUGAACCGCAUGGUUCAAUAGUGAAAGACGGUAUUGCUGUCACUUAUAGAUGGAUCCGCGCCGCAUUAGCUAGUUGGUAAGGUAACGGCUUACCAAGGCAACGAUGCGUAGCCGACCUGAUAGGGUGAUCGGCCACACUGGAACUGAGACACGGUCCAGACUCCUACGGGAGGCAGCAGUAGGGAAUCUUCCGCAAUGGGCGAAAGCCUGACGGAGCAACGCCGCGUGAGUGAUGAAGGUCUUCGGAUCGUAAAACUCUGUUAUUAGGGAAGAACAAAUGUGUAAGUAACUAUGCACGUCUUGACGGUACCUAAUCAGAAAGCCACGGCUAACUACGUG
rnacentral:rRNA from 1 species